rnacentral:rRNA from 1 species
UACGUAGGGUGCAAGCGUUGUCCGGAAUUAUUGGGCGUAAAGAGCUCGUAGGCGGUCUGUCGCGUCGGCUGUGAAAACUCAGGGCUCAACCCUGAGCCUGCAGUCGAUACGGGCAGACUAGAGUCCGGCAGGGGAGACUGGAAUUCCUGGUGUAGCGGUGAAAUGCGCAGAUAUCAGGAGGAACACCGGUGGCGAAGGCGGGUCUCUGGGCCGGAACUGACGCUGAGGAGCGAAAGCGUGGGGAGCGAACAGG